rnacentral:rRNA from 1 species
UACGUAGGGGGCUAGCGUUGUCCGGAAUCAUUGGGCGUAAAGCGCGCGUAGGCGGUUACACAAGUUGGAUGUGAAAGCCCUCGGCUUAACUGAGGAAGUGCAUCCAAAACUGUGCAGCUAGAGUACUAAAGAGGGUCGCGGAAUUCCCGGUGUAGAGGUGAAAUUCGUAGAUAUCGGGAGGAACACCGGUGGCGAAGGCGGCGACCUGGGUAGAUACUGACGCUGAGGCGCGAAAGCGUGGGGGAGCAAACAGG